CCCUUAGAUGUUCUGGGCCGCACGCGCGCUACACUGAUGAAUGCAACGAGCUCUACCCUUGACCGAAAGGCCCGGGUAAACUUGUGAAACUUCAUCGUGAUGGGGAUAGAUUAUUGCAAUUAUUAAUCUUCAACGAGGAAUUCCUAGUAAGCGCGAGUCAUCAGCUCGCGUUGAUUACGUCCCUGCCCUUUGUACACACCGCCCGUCGCUCCUACCGAUUGAAUGGUCCGGUGAGGCUUUGGGAUCUGAGCGGAAAGAGCGUUUCGCUGUUUCUGCUCGGAAAACUCAGUCGAACCUUAUCAUUUAGAGGAAGGAGAAGUCGUAACA
rnacentral:rRNA from 1 species